rnacentral:rRNA from 1 species
UACAGAGGGUGCAAGCGUUAAUCGGAAUUACUGGGCGUAAAGCGUGCGUAGGUGGUUUGUUAAGUCAGGCGUGAAAUCCCUGGGCUCAACCUGGGAACUGCGUUUGAUACUGGCAGACUCGAGUGUGGUAGAGGGUAGUGGAAUUCCGCAUGUAGCAGUGAAAUGCGUAGAUAUGCGGAGGAACACCAGUGGCGAAGGCGGCUACCUGGACCAACACUGACACUGAGGCGCGAAAGCGUGGGGAGCAAACAGG